rnacentral:lncRNA from 1 species
GAGUAAAGCUUAGACCAGGACUGCCACCGUCGACCGUGUUCAAAGUUAGUUGAAUCCGGGAUUUCGUCGCUUCUAUAUGUAAGAUGCAGGAUGACUGUGGAUAACGUGGUUAGCAUUUGGACAGCCAUGCUACUUGCUCGGCCUUCUAGCCAUGAUGGUCAUCGCCUCGUGGAUGAUACGUGAUGAUUUAGGUGUUCUAAAUUCCACAUUGCCUGUUGUCGAAUCAUGGGUCAUGGUUUUUUUUAUUGUAUUAGGAGUCUUCUACUCUGGGAUUACUCAUUUCAGGUGCUCUUGUAUCAGCAAAUGGUUGUCCAAUUGGGAGGAUAUCUGCGUGUCGUUUAUGUAUUGAACUCAUUUUUCUGUGGGAUUAUGGUUGUUCAGUCAUAUUUCAUUUUACAUUUCAUAAAUGUAAGAUGUUAUCCAGUGCUAGCAGCAGCGGUGGAAAAAUUGAUGCAAACGACAAUCACAUGCUUGGCAGGUGAAAUUUGGAAGAUGCUUUUUCGCAAUCGGCAUAAUUAUCCUUUGUAGAUCGGGUCUUAAUGCUGAUUGCUACUAUAACGAGUCGCUCAGGCUCUUGUCUUCUUUUCCUAAGGUAACCGUUGGCGGUCAUUUUGAAAGUGUGGUGCCGGAUUUUUUCUCCUUCCCUCGGUAUUUUUUUGCGCGACCUGCUACCGUUACGUAAAGCGUUGACGAUGGCUGGGAGCGACGGCCGUCAUUGGCCACCGGCCGUCGUGACCCCAGCCAUGGUGCCACCGUCACGAAAUCCUGUUUUACUUCAGGUUUUGGCUGUGGUAAUGGAGUCUCAUCUUGAACCUUGGUUCUGUAAGUUGAAUUUGCAAUUCGCUGCUGAUAAUCUAAGCCAAAUCUCUUUCUUAGCAUUUGACUGGGUUAGGGAAACAUAGCAAAUGGUCUAGACAUUAUUGGAAAUGGAAUGCUGGACGUCCGCGAGGUGAGAAUUGUCUAAGUUCUUUUUUAAUUGAAACAUGGUAGGUAAAUUUUUUGUUCAGCUUUAAUUUAUUUUGGAUGGGGAUUGGUUUCUGAUUUAUAUGAAAAUUCACCCGAUUGUCUUAUGUUUAUUGUUUGGAUUAACCACAAUAUUAGCCUUGAAUUCCCAUUUCAGAUUGUUCGGGUUCAUCGAAUGAAUGUACGUUUGAGUAUCUUGGCGAAACACGACGUAUUUGCAAAUGAUUUUAUGGUGUUUCUCGUUGACCAAUCACACCAAAUGUCCAAAUACAUGAAGUGAAAUACAGAAAAAUAUAGCGAAAAAGUUGUGGCUUCGAGGCGGGUGCUAGCAAUGUAUGGUUGUUACGUUUUCAGUGUUCUUUCCUAUACUCAAGCUGGGCUUCUGGCAAAAAUCGCAAUUAACAAGGUUGAUGUUAGUAACGGAAAGGAGGUGUUAAGGCUGGUGAAAGAUGAAAUGUCAGAAGAUUUUCCUAUACUUAAUUAAUGCUUAAAUAUUUACAAAAAAACAUGUUUAUCUCAGUUCCUUUAUUUACCGUAGCCAUGUUUCCCCAUGUCUUGUGAUCAUACUGUAGCAAUCAGCAGAGAAAGAAGGAACUGUCUGGAAAGAAGGCGAGUGGGCUGAUAAAAUUUAUGGGAAAAAUAGGGGGUAUGAAAAAAUGAGCCGAACAUUAUAUAAUAACUUAGAAUCAGAAAUUAUUGCCGUGGUAAAAAGCCGUUUAAAAUAAGAUGAAAUUUGCACCGUAGUUGUUGUAUUAAGAUGGUUAACUACAUAGUUGAUCUUUGGUUAACUGCUUGUAAUUUGCCCGUCUUUUGAUGUAUUUUAAUUAUGUAAAAUAAUAUUCCCAAUGAGUUCAUGCAUUAUCUUCAACAUUGUUGAUCUGUAACAAAAUUCAAUAUGUAUGAUUAAUUGUAAAUAAACAUUUCGAAUCAAUCAA